AAACGCGCUUGAGAGAACUCAGGAGAAGGAACUCGGCAAAUUAGUACCGUAACUUCGGGAUAAGGUACGCCCCUAGUAGGUGAAAGUGUACAACUGGAGCCGAAUGGGGUCGCAGUGAAAAGGUGGCUGCGACUGUUUAACAAAAACACAGCACUCUGCAAACACGUCAAGUGGACGUAUAGGGUGUGACGCCUGCCCGGUGCCGGAAGGUUAAGUGAUGGGGUGCAAGCUCUUGAUCGAAGCCCCGGUAAACGGCGGCCGUAACAAUAACGGUCCUAAGGUAGCGAAAUUCCUUGUCGGGUAAGUUCCGACCUGCACGAAUGGCGUAACGAUGGCCACACUGUCUCCUCCUGAGACUCAGCGAAGUUGAAGUGUUUGUGAUGAUGCAAUCUCCCCGCUGCAAGACGGAAAGACCCCGUGCACCUUUACUGCAACUUUGCAUUGGACUUUGAUGAGAUUUGUGUAGGAUAGCUGGGAGACUUUGAAGUGGGGGCGCUAGCUCUCAUGGAGUCACCGUUGAAAUACCAGCCUGAUGUUAUUGAGGUUCUAACCUGGAUCCGUAAUCCGGAUCGGGGACCGUGCAUGGUGGGCAGUUUGACUGGGGCGGUCUCCUCCCAAAGAGUAACGGAGGAGUGCGACGGUACGCUUAGCGCGGUCGGCUAUCGCGCUGUAUGUGCAAUGGCAAAAGCGUGCUUAACUGCGAGACGGACAUGUCGAGCAGGUGCGAAAGCAGGUCAUAGUGAUCCGGUGGUUCUGUAUGGAAGGGCCAUCGCUCAACGGAUAAAAGGUACGCCGGGGAUAACAGGCUGAUUCCUCCCAAGAGUUCAUAUCGACGGGGGAGUUUGGCACCUCGAUGUCGGCUCAUCACAUCCUGGGGCUGUAGCCGGUCCCAAGGGUAUGGCUGUUCGCCAUUUAAAGUGGUACGUGAGCUGGGUUCAAAGCGUCGUGAGACAGUUUGGUCCCUAUCUGCAGUGGGCGUUGGAAGUUUGAGGGGGGCUGCUCCUAGUACGAGAGGACCGGAGUGGACGCAUCUCUGGUGUACCGGUUGUCACGCCAGUGGCAUCGCCGGGUAGCUAAAUGCGGAAGAGAUAAGCGCUGAAAGCAUCUAAGCGCGAAACUCGCCUCGAGAUGAGACUUCCCGGGAACUUGAUUCCCCUAAAGGGUCGCGGAAGACCACCGCGUUGAUAGGUCGGGUGUGUAAGAGCAGCAAUGCUUUGAGCUAACCGAUACUAAUUGCCCGUGAGGCUUGAUCCG
rnacentral:rRNA from 1 species